rnacentral:ncRNA from 1 species
ACAAAGGCUGAGAAGAAAAGAGUAGGAUUUAUGGGAUUUUCAGAGAGCUCCAGGUUGGUGUGAUGGAGUAAUUUUGUAUAUCUGAAGUACAUUUUGGAGCCGCUUUCCUGAAAUAAUAGUAGGGUUUGACGAUUUGCAUACGUUAUAAUGCAGUGUCUAGUAUUUUGACACACUGAGUCGGAUAUCGUGAGGUAUUCGAGAACUAAGGUGGUAACACGAGAGAUAUCUCCCGUCCUUUUU